GCCAGGUGUGGUGGCUCACACCUGUAAUCCCAGCAACUUGGGAGGCUGAGGCAGGAGGAUGGUGAGUUCAAAGCCAGCCUCAG
rnacentral:sRNA from 1 species